rnacentral:rRNA from 1 species
UACGGAGGGUGCAAGCGUUAUCCGGAUUCACUGGGUUUAAAGGGUGCGUAGGUGGGCAGGUAAGUCAGUGGUGAAAUCUCCGGGCUUAACCCGGAAACUGCCGUUGAUACUAUUUGUCUUGAAUAUUGUGGAGGUAAGCGGAAUAUGUCAUGUAGCGGUGAAAUGCUUAGACAUGACAUAGAACACCAAUUGCGAAGGCAGCUUACUACACAAUGAUUGACACUGAGGCACGAAAGCGUGGGGAUCAAACAGG